rnacentral:rRNA from 1 species
UACGGAGGGUGCAAGCGUUAUCCGGAUUCACUGGGUUUAAAGGGUGCGUAGGCGGGCAGGUAAGUCAGUGGUGAAAUCUCCGAGCUUAACUCGGAAACUGCCGUUGAUACUAUUUGUCUUGAAUAUUGUGGAGGUAAGCGGAAUAUGUCAUGUAGCGGUGAAAUGCUUAGAUAUGACAUAGAACACCAAUUGCGAAGGCAGCUUACUA